rnacentral:lncRNA from 1 species
UAUGUAAAAUGAGAGUUGGUACAUAAUAUACCUAUGAUUUAUUUGCAGCGUAGAAAAAAAUAUUAUUUUCCGAUUUUCUAAACGUAAUAUUUCUAUAAGUAAAUAGAUAUCCGUAUUCGGUUCCCUUUUAAUUUUAAAGGGAAGAGGGGAGAUGCGUGGGCAUCUCAAACGUAGCUUUGUAAAAUCAAUAAACUGUACGACAAAUAGUUAAGAUCUAAUUUUGUACAUUAAAUUCAAAUGGUAGAGAUAUUUUUUCAUUAGGAUCUUAUUUUGUCAUCGCGUUCUUUAUUUUGUAACAUUGUUAUGUGUGUAGCUGUUGUUAAAACAAUAAUAUUAUAUAAGUUUUAGCAGAAUACUGUUGGCGAAACAUGUCCAAAUAUUGAUAAUAAUAGGUACAUAGGUAGUUACGAGAUAAUGUUUCAACGUCUAUAUUCUCCUUGGAUUUUGUGAACUAUACGAGGUAUGUGUACAACAAAUUACUGUAUAUUUUUUGUAUUUAACUGGUUUUUGAUUUUUUCGAAAAUAUCCAUACGGCGUAUUGUUUGAGCAAACACGUUUUGCGGCUCUUAACAUUUUUUGAACAAUAUAACUAUUAUAUUAUUAUAAUUUAUAAGCGAGAUAUAAAUUCUUUCGAUCAGUACUAUAUUGUGUAAUAAUUAUUAAAGUACUCACAAUGUAGUUCUGUACACGGUACAACCUGCUUAUGUAUUAUAAUUAAAUGCAAAACGCCGUACGAAACACGUAUAUACUCAAUAUUAUUAUAAUAAUAUUAAUUAUUAUUAUUAUUAUUAUUAUUAUUAUUAUUGCCGUUUGUGUACAAGCGUAUACUAUAGAAAUUACGUGUCGAGAAAUAAUAAUUACUAUAUAGUCUCAUUAUCCAAUUACGGAUUAAUUAUUGUAAAACGGCGUCCGUGUUCAAUUAAAUAUUGUCCGCUCAUGGAUUUAUAAUAUAAUAAUAUGCAUUAUAUUGUGUAUACCUACCUAUAUAGGUAUAAAAUAAACUGCAGAGUAUACUUUCUGAUGUAAUCGAUUCUUCGAUAAAUAUUCAAUAUAUUAUGUAGAGUGCAGUUGGUACAUAUAUUGAAGAAACAAGGUGAUUUUUUGUUGUUUUUUGCGAUCCGUCUACAUAAUAAAAGUAUUUAGUCGUUUUUCUCAGUAUUUAUAUAUCAGACAUAAUAUAAAAAAUCGUUUGACGAUAUUAAUAACAAUAUUUUAAAAAUGUUGGCCUUAUUACCGAAUGCGUAAUCAUGUCGGAUUUACCGUAUACAUAUUAUAAUAUAUUGACGGUUUACAAUAAUUUAGACCAGAGGAUCGGGAUGACGAAUGAAAAUUAUCAUUUCAAAACGAAUGUGAAAUUUAUCACCCUCCCUUAUUCCUCGAAGUCAAUACGCAUUUAAUUAGAUAGUAGAUAACAUUUGACAAUACUAUUUAAUAGAAGCAUAAACAGUUGCAUGUAAUAAUAUAACGAUAAAACAGAAAUAAAAUUAACUUAAAAUCCUCCGUGAAAAUCGCUGGAUCGUGCAGAUAAAAAAAAAAUAUAAAACCAUCCUGUAUAGUGUAUACUUUUUCGAGCACGUUCGUAAAACGUGUACAUUUUAUUGGUAAAUAUCAACCUACCUAACGAUUUUAUUGCGUACGAUUAUUUUAAAUCAAUCGGAGAUUCGCUGUAAAUCCGCGGUAAGAGUAACAUUUUUAUUCUUAGAAAAAAGCCUAGUAAAAUACAUCGGUAAUCAUCUCAGGUUUCUCCGUUUUUCUACUAUGACGAUUUUUAAAAAAAUAAAAAUCCAACCAAAACCCCAUGUUAUAAUGACAAUACUAAAUACCGACAGCCUAGUGGUUCCCUACCUUUUUUAUUCUACGCCCACUUUGUAGAUUUUCAAGAAUCUUGUGCCCCCUCUCUUAACAACGAGACGAAGAAAAAAAAAGUCAUCAACAAAAUCCUAUAAUAUAAUAUUCGUAUAAAAGCUGAUAAGUAAACAAGCCUACUCGGUAGCCGGUCGUUAUUAAUUUUUAAUUUUUUCUCUUCAUUGUAAAAUAAAAAUAAUUUAAUAAAUACAAAUUUUACAUCGUAAUGAUUGCUUGCACCUCCCCAGCAAUGUGUUCACGUCUCCCCUAUAAGGUUAGGAAGCAUUUUGAUAGCCCGACGGAGAUGCGUCAGCUGAUAAAACUCAAUACGUUACCGUCUCUAUAGUUAACUCGGUUAUUCAUAUUUCAUUUUAAUUAUUCGAUAUGUUUAUCCCUCACUUUUUUUUCUUAUUGCAUGCGUUUUCACAUGAUUAAAAUAAUGUAACCAAAGUAAUUAGAUGCAACUCCUUUUAUUUUUAACAAAUAUAUUAAGUAUAUUAACUGCCAAUACAGAAUUAGAAAAGAAAUGUUUUCUGUAUAGAAAACUAUACCUAUAACCAAUCACUUU